GAAAUCAUAAUAAUUUUUUUGUUACAUAUUUUAAACAACAAAAAAGAUAUUCCAAACAAUUUAUUUAACAGUGGUAGUGAAUAGUUUACAAUAUUUAUUAUGACGGCGGAAGAGAUAAAUUGGCGUGCAUUAAUUGUAAAAAAUUUGAUAGAUCGAAAUCGAAGGGAAACCAAUUCAUUCAACGAAAUAAUAACACAAAAUAAUCGUUUACUUGACACAACCUACGAAUUGAAAUCGUUGAAUUUAAAGUUGUCGGUGGAAAAUGAGCAAUUAAGAUCGGGUAGCACAGCGCCGUCAAAUGGUACGAGCGCAGCGUCAGCCGCAAAAAUAUCGCAUCUGGAAAGUAAGCUGUUGGCACAACAAGAGCAACUCACUGACCUGCAUAAACGAAAGGGUGAAAAUGCACAAAUGAUUAUCGAUUUAAAUUUAAAAUUAGAAAAACAAAAUAAAUUAUUGGGUGAACGAGAAGCCACUAUUGCUGAUCACAUAGCGGUGAAAUCAAGUUUACGUGCCGAAGUUCUUAUGCUAACGACUUCACUGCAAGAGCUCAAAUCAUUGAAUUCCUGCUUACGAGAUGAACAUUGUGCACUGCAAUUGGCUUUUGCAUCACUCGAAGAAAAAUUACGUAAAGUUCAGGAUGAAAAUCGAACACUGGUGGACCGUUUAAUAAAAUAUAAAGCAAAAGAUGCCGAAAAAUUAAAUGAAGAAAACGAAAGUUUUUUAAAAAUUGGUAAAACUUUGUUUAGAAAACGUUCGGAUAAAAUGCGUAAGGAAUUGGAGGAUGCAGCCCGUGAAGGUGUAAGCCGACGAUCAAAUAGUCCAGUGCCAGCUUUGCCUGAUCUUGAACGAGCAGGAAGCCUGAGUGAUUUGACUGGUAAUGCAAAAGCAGCUGGUUUCUUUAGUGAUGGUAUACCGAAACGUAUUCAUCUGAAAUUCGAUGCGCAUGAUGGUGAGGUGAAUGCAGUUCGAUGGAGUCCUGUUGAACCGUUAGUUGCAACUGGUGGUGCUGAUAGAAAAGUUAAUUUAUGGGACGUUGGCAAAGCCAAAAUGGAGCCCCGAGGAAUCCUCAUUGGAAGUAAUGCAGCUGUAAAUUCGGUGGAGUUUGAUUCAACCGGUUCUAUGGUGUUGGCAACAUCAAAUGAUUACGCGAGUAGAGUGUGGACUGUUUCCGAUCAACGGCUCAGGCAUACAUUGACUGGACACAGUGGGAAAGUGAUGGCAGCUAAGUUCUUGGGCGAACCAUCGAAAGUCGUAACUGGAAGUCACGAUCGAACAUUGAAAAUAUGGGACUUACGAAGCCGAGCAUGUGUUGAAACAAAAUUUGCUGGUUCGAGUUGUAACGAUUUAGUCACAACGGGCACUGAUGUAUCUGGCACCACAAUCAUCAGUGGACAUUACGACAAAAAAAUCCGUUUCUGGGAUACAAGAACCGAUUGUUCGGCCAACGAAAUUGUGCUACAAGGUAAAAUUACAUCGUUGGAUCUAUCGAAAGAUUGUCAAUAUUUACUGAGCUGUGUUCGUGACGAUACGAUUAAAUUAUUGGAUCUACGCAUGAACCAGAUAAUCAAAACGUUUAGCAAUGAUAAUUUCAAAGUUAGCUGUGACUGGUCUCGUGUGUCGUUUAGCCGUGAUACAAGUCGUAUUGCGGCUGGUUCAAAUGACGGUGCAAUAUUCAUAUGGAAUAUCAACGGGCAGUUAGAAGGCACGCUCAAGGAAAAUUCACCGGGUGGUUUGUUUAUUCGCAGUGCUGCUGCUGUGACAGCCGUCUCAUGGAACCCAUUCAGUUCAGUAUUGGCAACGGUGGAUCGGGCUAAAACUUGCAUCAUUUGGUCGAGUGCUUAAAUUGAAACAAUACAACUACCUAACAACAUGAAACAACUAAAUUCAACCUACACAUACAGCACUCGGAAUCAAAAGGAAGAGAGAGAGGAAAAAGAAGAAGAUAGAAAGAUUUUCAUCGAUUCGGACCAGUAUCACUCCGUAUUUUUACCUCUGAUUUUUUUUACAAAUUAAAAGACACUUCAAAAUCUCCAUUUGUUAGGUAUCUCUGCGUAUCAAUUUGUUUUCCAGAUAUUUUCUAUGGUGUUCCAUUAAAGUAAUAUUAUGCGUGCUAAUUCGAAAAAAUGAAGAAUAUGUUUAAAAUCUAUAUAUUUUCUGUAUGAUAAAUCUUAACUAUGUUUGUUUUUUUUUUUCAAUUUUUUUAAAUAAUCAAUACGUGUCUACGUUCUAAAUAAUUUUCUUAGAGAAGACAAAUUAAUGUAAAUGUACGUGAAUUGAAUAUGUAGCAUUGCUUUUACAAAGCCGGCCAUUUGAGCUCGCAUUGACGUCAAGGAAUAUAGCAAGUGUUGUGUUUAAAUUUAAAUAUAAAAAAAAGAUUUCGAAAUAAUAUCCAUGUGGUUUUUCUAGUAUGACGGCGUCAAGCGCCAUCGAUAUAUUUUUUAACGAAAUGAUAUUAAAUUGUGUAUUGCACGAUGAACGAAAUAGAGAGAAAGAGAAACAAAUAAAUGUAAUUUUAUUCUUUUAUGACGAUGAAGAUAAGAUUUCAUUCAGAGAAAUCGAUGAACCAGCAAUAAUAAAACAAAAUGUAUAUGCAUGGCAUGAAUCAAUCGGUAAUUUAAUGACGAUAUUACAGCUAAAGAAACGAAAAUAGAAAUAUUGUUUAAAAAAAAAAAGAAAAUAUAAAUUGUAUGCUUGAACACAGAUUGAUGAUAACUGUUAUUCGUCCAUCAAAAAUCAUUCACAACAAAUAAUUUGCAUCAUACACAAUGCAUGUAAUUUAAUUGAUUAGUCAAAUUUAUCGAUAAAAUCCAUGGAUCUGUGAUUCAAAAUAUGUAUAGUUGUAAGCAUGAUAAACAUUCAAUUGAACAAUUUGUUUAUUUUGCUUAAGUCCAAUUGAUAGAUAUGAUAAGAAUUAAAGCGGUGUCUACAUUUCAUAUACAAUACGUUCAAUUUUCACAAUCAUUGGAUUUCUCGCUGUUUUUGCAACAUAAAUGGAGAGAAUUGUGCGCAUUCAUCGCCACGAAAGAAACAAAAAAAAAAUGUCCAAUGUUUUGUUUCGGUCUCUUUUUUUUGUGCUGCUACACAAACGGUUCAUGCAAUGACAUUAUUUGUUUAUCGAUGAUUAAAAUUUGGGCACAAUUUUUCAUUUCAAAUUAAUGCACUUCAAUCGUAUUUCGUUUCAUAUUCCAGCAAACAAGUGAUUAAUAUUUUGAAAUCAAACAAAAACAAAAUCAGAGAAGAAAAUACACAGACACAAACGAAAACAUAAGGAGAUUUAUAAGCAUUUUUACUCAUAGUUGAUACGCAUAAAGAUAGU